UUACAUCAAUUAUUUGACAGGUCUUUAUUCAAAUAUUCCUGUUUUUCAGAAGAUGUUCCAUUUCAUCAUAUAUAUUCAUUAUUGCAUUAUGUAACUAGAAAAGCACUCAGAGAGCAGUCCUCCUCCAAUGCUGCUUCAGUCCUCCUCCAAGGCCACUUCAGUCCUCCUCCAAUGCUGCUUCAGUCCUCCUCCAAGGCCGCUACAGUCCUCCUCCAAGGCCGCUACAGUCCUCCUCCAAGGCCGCUACAGUCCUCCUCCAAGGCCGCUUCAGUCCUCCUCCAAGGCCGCUACAGUCCUCCGCCAAGGCCGCUUCAGUCCUCCUCCAAGGCUGCUCAGUCCUCCUAUAGGAUGCUCAGUCCUCCUCCAAGGCCACUUCAGUCCUCCUCCAAGGCCACUCAGUCCUCCUCCAAGGCUGCUUCAGUCCUCCUCCAGGGCCGCUCAGUCCUCCUCCAAGGCCGCUCAUUGCCCAUAUGUCAGAAAUGCAGCAUUUGUUUAUUAAUUAUUGAUGAUCAAAAAUCAUCAUAGAAUGUGUCCAUAUAAUAUAGAUGUACCCACAAACACAAUGACCUUGCACUGAGCACAGGCGUGUGUUCUGCAUGUGUACGUUAUGUACAGAUACUGAAUCACGUGACCUAAAUAUGUAGCGGGCGGCGGGAAUUGAUGGCAUUCAGAAACACCCCCACAAUUUAAUCAGUUGUUCCUUGGAUCAUUUCUGAUGGGUAAGUUCUGAUAAGUCCACAGUGGUGGGUUUGUAAUAGGAUCACAAUCAGCUGAUGUAGUGUUCACUUGUUGUCAUGUUUACAGUGACGCUGUGCCACUAUCUGGCAAUGAUACAGAAAUCUUUAACCAAUCCAUGGAUUCAGACUAUAAGCUGCAUCACUGCCAGAAUCUAAUCACUUGGUCCUUGUGUCAUUUCUGACCUUCACUGGAAAUUUCAUCCAAAUCCGUUAGUCUGUUUUAGAGUAAUGUUACGGACGGACAAUUUCCUGAUGACAACAGGACGAAUAGGGUUGAACUAAAGGAGUGAAUGCUGUAGAAAUGUCCACUCAGGCAGCUAAAUUCAUCCAUCAGUGCUUUUGUUGCAGUUCUUUGAAUACCAACUUCCAACGCCUCCCUAGAUGGUCUAUUAUCAGUAAAACUCCUCACUGAGCUCCUCCUGCUGUCAUCUCCUUAACUCAGCUUUCAGUUCUUCAUCACCUUCGAGCAGCUGAAGAAGCUUCCGUUUUAACGGCUGCAGGACAUCUGCUGGUCUCAGAUCAGUGGGGUGUGAACACGGCAGCACCAGUAUGAUCACACUCCCUUUACAUCGACACCGCUGGUACACCUGCCCCAUUCAAAUCUGACUUCUUUAGGUUUUUAAGCGUUCUAUUUAUCGCCAGUAUUUGCUUUUUUUAAUGCAGUUUGGAGGACGGUUGAUUUUUGUCUCCCUCCGUCACUUUGGUCACUCCGCAGGCAGCUAAAUGUGUGUUUGUAGCAGCAGUGUGAAAGCGUGGAAGACUAGAUUUAUUUCAAAUGUUGUCUUCUUAACAUUUGCUGGGGAUAAUACGUCUUGCAGAGUGCCAGUCCAGACCUGCAUGACAACACAGUUUGUGGCAGAAGAAGAAGAAAAGAGUUAAAUUUAGAAAAGAAUGAUGUGUUUAAAGGCAUAGACACUGCAUGAAGUGUGCUAGGAAAACAGCUCAUGAUAUAACUGUUGAAUGUUGAGAAACUGUAUGGAAGAGUCGCUGCAAAACGACAAAUGGACUGUUACGAGAAGCCACUGUACAGAGAGGAAAGGAAAACAGAAAGCAAGAAGAAAUGAGCUGCGUGUCAAAAACUGUGUCUGAAAGAGAGUCAGUUAGAAAAAUUCCCAACAGAAGAACACCUGAAUGAAUCUGAGGCUGAAAGAAGUUUAUUUUUCUCUUUAUUAUUUAUUUUUUUUUUUUGUUGGAAAGAAUCAGUUUGUUGAGCCAUAGUGGAGCAUAAGCUAUGACCAUCUGGGAUCUGAAAAAAUCUGAACCAAAGCCUCUAAUAACAAAAGGGAGACAUACUUUUUUCUUUUAUUUAUUAUUUUAUUUUUAGAAGUGUUCAUUUCAAAACGAUCACUUACAUGAGGUGUUUUUGUUGUUAGAGACGCCUCCAGCCUGGCUCUGCUCGGACGUUGCAGGCUGUUAAACAGACUUUGCUGCCAUGAAGUGGAUGAAAGCGGUUCAGUAAAUACUGUAAAUGUGUGUACAGACUCUUUCACACACACAGAGGUGGAUGUAUUUUGUCUUCGGCAUGUCCAGGUGUACAUACGAUGUCUGUUGACACUAGUUUUCCUCUUGUGUUCUCCGUCGUGCCAAAAUGUGUUUCUACCGAUUUAUUUGAAGGUUUUCUUUGCAGCUCCUCUUCAGUUUUUGUAAAAAGUCACUGUAGUUGGAAUGGAUUUCUUAAAGGCAGCGUAGGUGAAUCACAUUCUUUAAACUCCACCCAUAUAAACCAACUAAAUGCUUUAAUGAAUAUCUUGUAUUUUAAAUUCUUCAGAGAUCAGUCGCUGCCGUUUCAGACAGCUGUGUUGCUUCACUCUCUCAGAUUUUGUUCUAAUUUGUUAUUUGGGACCUAAAACAAAUUAAAUUUGUUGUCAGAUCUGGAUAUUUUUGUAAUUUCACCCUCAAAAACACAAGGUCUUAUGUAGAAAGCAACUUUAAUGGUUCAAUAUCUCUAGAAAUACAACUCUGAAAGUGAUGAAAUUUGGCUGGAUCGAAAGACUCCAGCAGAGUCCAGCAUUAUUGACCCAUGAAACUGUAAGAAAUGCACAAAAAUACAAUCUUUGGUCAACAUUUCACCUCCCUUUCCAGCCCCUAACACCAGUAGAAUUUGAUGUUUUUCAGUAUGACAAGGAAAGAUUCCAGUUUUUUUGCUAUUUUGACAAAAUGGUGAUUGAAUGCCUUCAGCAGAGGCCUGAUUUCAAUCACUAACCCUUGAAAAUGCAAAAAAAGUGCAGCAUUUUCAGACAAAGUUCCUGCUAGUGUGUAUCUAUGGAUCUAUAUCUCCUACUCCUAGUAGUCUCUGGUCGACAUUUUACCAACUUUUAAAGCCACAUCUGUAGACGUUAAUGUUUGGUGUAAAGCAAGGUUUGAGCCAUUUUUCACGUUGUCUUCAUGUUGAAAUUCAGUCAACAUUUAACCUGCUGGAAACCGUUUUUCUGUCCUCAGCUGACUUCAUGGGAGUUUUACUUCUAAAAAUACUGACAUUUCAAAAUGGCUGCUCAGAUUUUGUGAGAGGGGAAACACAAAGAUUUCCAGGUCUGAAAACAUCUGAAGUUUUCUAAAUUCAGAUGAAAUAUUUAACAGAACUCAGUUUCUGUCCCCUAAUAACAAAUAAGUGAAUGAAAUCUGAGACGUUUGAGCAACACGUUUCCUGCAUUCUGCCUGAUUUGAUGCUGACUGACCCUCGGAGACGUCCACAGAUUAAAUCUGACCAAUUAUCAGAAGGAAAGCUGCCUCCACUCAAAUCUUUAUUAUUAUUUAUUCUUUAACUUCUGAUUGAUUGGUUUGUCUUCCUGGUGGACGUCUUUCCAUGCUGGAUAUCUUCAUCAGACUCUUUCCUCUAUUAAGAAAACUGGUUUAAUAGAAAAGAUGCUCAGAUUUAACAGCUUCAGCAUCUGGUUGUUUCUGUUUUUUGGUCUUUGCUGCUGUUUUCAUAUUUAAGUCAUUUCAUCUUGGUCACAUUCACCUGUGAGUCUGCAAACACAAGUGGAUUUUAUGAAUGAAGUGUUUCCUCCCAUUUCUUGUACCACUUAAACACAGAUGGUGUCCUUUGGCCCAUCACAGCUACAGAUAUCUAACUGAAUUUCCUGUAUAUUUUUAGGUUUAUUGCAGGCUGACUACAGUUUAAAUCCAAAUGUUGACCAAUAAUCUGUUCCGAUGUCACUACCAGACCAUGUAUUUCCAAGUAGAUGUUGGUUUAUGGUUCAUUAACAGCAGCUCAGUUCAGUACUUCAUCAACACUUUCAAAAAUGCAACGAUGAAAACCAACAUUUAAAGUGUACGGAUUUUAUUGUUUGAUUGCUUGUUCUUGGUUUUAAAGACUUUAGGUUCUGAGUUGUUGUUGGACUGAGAACAUCAUGUUCUUACUUUAGUGGUGUCCUGAGAACGUUGAUCAGUUCCAGCUUUACAUCCAUCACCACAUGUUCUUCUGUGUUGUUGCCGUACUGACCAAACUCAUGUUGCAUUUCUAUUCUGUCUACAAAUCGUGCUUACAGGCCUCCAUAGCGAAGGAUAUAUUUGUUUCAGGUGUGAGGAGAAGUGAUUGUUACCUCAGAUUUCAUGCGUUUCUGAGCCAGUUAGACCUUCUGAACACAGUCUGGUAUAAAGUACCCAGACACUGCUAGAGUCUUGAUAUUAAACCUUGCAGUCCUUCUCAUCUUUUACCUUCUUCUAAACCGAAGAACUCCUGUUAGGUUUCUGUGGAGUUUGACUAGCUGAUAGAUGAGCUGUUGGAGAAUCUAGGAUUAAUCUUCGCAGUAGGCUUAGGGCUCAACGUUCAGGUUUAGAUGCAGUUUCUGGUCAUUUAACACUUUUAUGGAAACAUCUGAAAACAAAUUUUGGUUUCUAAGGACAUCCCACUGAAGCAACCACUGCUGAUAAACAGAACAGAAACUAGGGCUGGACAGAUAGAACUGUCACCGUUUGAUAGAACUGAUGCAUCAAAAAAACUGAAUAUAUGUCAGAUUAAAUCAUUUUAGCAGCAGAACCAGUUGGAUGGAAACCAUUUCCAGAUGCGUCCAUAUGAGUUUAUCCAAUGCCAACAGUGACUGAACGUGUCGUUUUUGUCUUUCUGAUGAGUUCCCUCGGUUUCACAGCUGUGAAUUAAUUCAUCAGGAGGUAAAAACUGUUUCGGCAUUUAGACUGAAUUGACCUAAAUUUGCUUCUGUCAAACAUUUUCAGCCAAAGUUUCUUUAAGAAGACGACACAUCUCAGAAUUGUGAAUCAGACUAAUCGUAAAAGCUCUUUUGCACAAUGUUGUGACUGUAAAGGCUGUUUUACACCUGGACAGGUAAAUGGUACUAAUUCAUGAAAACACUCCAAAGAUCAGCGCAGUUAAAUGACAUUUCUCAUUGAGUCAUUUAGAUGAAGUGUUGAUGUGCUGGAACCAGGAGAGAAGCUGACAUUUAUCUGCUGAUGUUCAUGUUUGUUUUCCUGGAGAACGUUCGAUCUCCUCUAAUGUUCUGUCACAGCAGCUUUAGUUCACUUCAACCGUCCAGCUUUUAGAACCUCCAAAGGUUCUUUAAAACUUCUCUGAUCAAACACCUGAAGUCUGUUGAUGUCGCACAAGUUUUUCUUUUGGCCAAAUGAUUUUAAACCCUUCAUUGGGACUUGUUUCUGUUUUUUCUGUUUAAUUAUCUGAAAGUGUUCUUCUGUUUCUGUGGAUCUGAUCAGACCUUAGAAGGAUUGUAUUUAUUUGACUGAAGCUGCUUUUACAUUCCUGAUAUGAUUUUCUUUAAAAACUAAAAAAGAAUUUAAUGCUCGCGUAUUUUAUUUGCUUCUUUUCAUUUGAACUGAAGUCGACCACUUCAUUCCCUUCAUGAAGUAAAGUGUGAAAAGCUCAUUUUAAAUCCAUUUAAUCACUUGGCUCACUGACAUCGGUGGACUAAAUUAAAAUACUUUAACACUCUGGGAACUGUGCUCAACAAAUGUGUGUUUUUUAGGUUGAUUUUUGGUGUUUUAACAGUUUCUGGGUGAUCCGGAGUCAGACCCACAAGUUCGUGUUUUUGUCGGAGAGCAGAACCAAAGACGAGAUGUUUUAUUAGAGUUUUCCAGCUGCAGAGAACCAGAGCAGCUGUUUCCCUCGUUUCUAGUGUUUCUAUGAAGCUAACCGGCUUUAGCUUCAGAUUCAAAGACUGAAAGCGCUUUGUAAAUAAAUUUAUUAUUAUUAUUAUUAUUAUUAUUAUUAUUAUUAUUAUUAUUAUUAUUAUUAUUAUUAUUAAUAAAGUGCAGACAUGAAGUCGGUCUUGAUCUGAUCAGUUCCUUCUAUGAGACUUGAGGUGUGAUUACUCCACAACCUCCUGAGAACCGAGGGAAAAAGAAUCUUUCAAUCUAACUUUUUUGUGAUUUUCUGCCUUUUUGGAGCUAAAACAACUCAAUUUAGAAUUUCAUAAAAAUAUUUUUAUUUUAGAGACAACAGAACAAUUUUACCAUGAAAAAAACAAAACAGUGACACUUCAAAAUCAAAACAGGCGACAAGAAAACAAGAACGUCGAUUCAUUUUCUAAUGAAACUUUAAGAAACUAAAUUAAAUAACAGUAGUCUAAAAAGUGAAGAGGUUGAAUGAAACAUUCGAAUAAACAACUAUUUAUUACAUUAAGUACUGUACAUUCACUGUGUUUAUUACCUACAAAGAAAUGAAUGUAAACAAAGAACUAGCUAGCUAGUUAGCUGGUAGCUGACACCAUUAAAUCAUGUCCUCUACAGUUAGCUAGUUAGCUACUAGCUAACUCCAUUAAAUCAGGUCCUCUACAGUUAACUAGCUAGCUAGUUAGCUAGCUGUUAGCUAACCCCAAUAAAUCAUGUCCUCUACAGUUAACUAGUUAGCUACUAGCUAGCUGGCUGUUAGCUAACCCAAUUAAACAGCUGAUAUUCAUAAAGGGGAGAUUAUGUUUAACUGAACUCUGACCCCAGUUUAUUAUUCCUCACAUAUUCAUAAACAAGAAAAUAUAUGAUUAGCAUCGGUAAAACAACGAUGUCUUAAUUUUUUACUGAACUUUUCUUUCUUCCUGUCAUUUUGCUGCUGUCUCCAUUUAGCCUCAGCAGGAACACAAAGUUCCCGUCAUCCCACCUGAUCACCAGACGUCAUUAGAAAGGCCAGGAUGUCCUCUACUGAGCAUGUCUGGAUUUAUUACGGUAGCUCUAAUGAGUCCAGAUAUAUCGCUCAAAAACAAAUGUCCAGUCCAGAGGACAUAAAUGGUCUCGGGAGGAUAUAGUAAAGCUGACUUUAAUAAAAUAUUAACUCUGCAGAUUUGUGGGUAAAACUUCACCAAAAUUAAACCGGACUUGAAAAAGACGCUACCAGAAGACCUCAGUUCGAUGUUCUGCCACAAGGAAUCAUGGUCGUAUCUUUUCUCUGGUUGGCGGUGACCCUAACUCUAACCCUGUCAGAUGAAAGCUCCAGAGAAGUCUAGAGAGCGAAGCUUCUGCUAAAACAGCAGCUGUGCUUGGGUUCGUUUUAAAUUUGUGUCUCUAAAAAGCCAAAGGAUGAAGGAAAUGCUUCCAACAAACCGUUCUGUGGUCGUUAUCUUAGAACACUCAGAGUGCUCGUUUUAUUCAAACUACAGAAACUGGUCUGGGUUGAUGGAGAGAAAGAUUCUGCUAAAUGCUGGUAGUUGUUUUCUUGUUCAUUUUGUCGUUUCCAUCGAGGAUUCUUUGGCUCUAAACGUACCCUCUGAUAUUUUCACCGUUUGUGUUAUUUUUCCUGCCUGAAGCACCGUUUCUGUCUCAUGUCGAACAAAACUAAACUUUUAAACUGAUUAAAUGAAGACAACAUUGGUCCUCUCCAUUAGCAUUAUUCCUCCUGAUCGCCACAUAAAGAAACCGUUUUCUCUGGAUAUUUAGUGUAUUUGGUCGAUUGUUCAGCUGCAAUAUUCUACUUUUGUCAUUUAAAGGCCAACGUUUUUCGUGUUUCAGCUGAUAUACGUCAGAAAUGUUGUCAUGUUCAAAUACUCUGAGUGGAACUUGUUAUUAACUGCAUCUGGAAAAGAAAAUCUGAACAUUUUUGUAAAUUUUCUGAUUAUUUGCACUUUGGCGUCUGCUCUGCUUGUUUCAUUUCUUUACUUGAUGAAUUUCUACACUGGAGGUUGAACGUAGAAAGAACUGUUUUUUUCUUUGACAUGAAUGGGUUUAGCUUUCUAUAAAUUCGCUGUUUACUCAAAGUAUAUGCUGUGAUUGUUUCUGUGGCUUUAUUUAGUCUUUAUUGUAUUGAUAUGUCAGCCUGAAAUUCUACAAAUGUCUUUACAAAUACGUAAACUUUCUAAGAUUUUUGGGAAAGUAGAGAUAAAAAUCUGCAUAUUUUUGAUGGAUUUCUAUAGUUCGGUCAACGUCAUGAUACUUUUCGUGCUGUUACUGAAAGAGACUUUCCAAGAAUUAAAGGUGUCU
ensembl:lncRNA